UCCGUGUCUAUUGUACCCUGUUGCUUCGGCGGGCCCGCCGCUUGUCGGCCGCCGGGGGGGCGCCUCUGCCCCCCGGGCCCGUGCCCGCCGGAGACCCCAACACGAACACUGUCUGAAAGCGUGCAGUCUGAGUUGAUUGAAUGCAAUCAGUUAAAACUUUCAACAAUGGAUCUCUUGGUUCCGGCAUCGA
rnacentral:misc_RNA from 1 species